AUAACAAUACAGGACUAUUUAGAGGCCCUGUAAUUGUAAUGAGUCCACUUGAAAUCCUUUAACUCUGAUCAAUUGGAGGGCAAGUCUGGUGCAGAGCGGCUGACCCGUGCAUGCUGCAGCGGAAACUCCACUAA